rnacentral:rRNA from 1 species
AGUGAACGCUGGCGGCAGGCCUAAUACAUGCAAGUCGAACGGCAGCACAGCAGAGCUUGCUCUGUGGGUGGCGAGUGGCGGACGGGUGAGGAAUACGUGGGAAUCUGCCCAGUCGUGGGGGAUAACGUAGGGAAACUUACGCUAAUACCGCAUGCGCCCUUCGGGGAAAGCCGGGGACCUUCGGGCCUGGCGCGAUUGGAUGAGCCCACGUCGGAUUAGCUAGUUGGCGGGGUAAAGGCCCACCAAGGCGACGAUCCGUAGCUGGUCUGAGAGGAUGAUCAGCCACACUGGAACUGAGACACGGUCCAGACUCCUACGGGAGGCAGCAGUAGGGAAUAUUGGACAAUGGGCGCAAGCCUGAUCCAGCCAUGCCGCGUGAGUGAAGAAGGCCCUCGGGUUGUAAAGCUCUUUGUCCGGAAAGAAAAGACGCCGGGUUAAUACCCUGGUGUCCGUGACGGUACCGGAAGAAUAAGCACCGGCUAACUUCGUGCCAGCAGCC